AGUUUCUUGCAUAAAAUGUGGCACAUGGCAGGCCCUCGGGAAUGACAGCAAAUGUUUAAAUAUCAUGCCCCAGACUCUUCUAAAUGAUUUAGCGUGACCUUGAAUAUUCUACUGCUUCUGCACAUCAGGAGUGAAAGCAGAGUUCUCUGAAGCUGACUCCAGAAGGAAAGGGGCCAAGUUCAGUGCUGUGAACCUUUCCUGCUGCCUUCCAAGGAGAGAGGCUGGCUUGACCUUUGUCCUGGUGUGACAUUCCUUGUCACUGAUUAACCAGCUCCAUAGGAAGUUUGCUCUGCCAACCUUCUGCUCUGCCUGGAGAGAGCCAUCCUGUCAAGCUUUGGUGAGUCAAAAAAAUGUCCACUCGCUACCACCAAGCUGCUAGUGAUAGCUACCUGGAACUUCUGAAAGAGGCUACCACACGAGACCUGAUUCUUUCUGAUGAGGAUGGCAUGACACCCACUCUCCUGGCAGCCUACCACAGCAACUUGCAAGCCCUGGAAAUAAUCUGCAGCAGAGGAGGGGACCCCGAUAGAUCAAUAGUUUCUCAAAUUGAGACUGCUCCUUCAGCCUGGGUUCCAGAACAGACUGAUACAAAGCAGAGUCACAACAAGAGAGAAAGAGAGCAGGAAGUAACCCUGUGUUCUCAACCACUGAGAUUUGAGCGAUAUUCAACCCUGAGGAAUAAUUUAGAUUAAACUGACAGAUGCACCCGACUUUAAUAUGUAAGUAUGAUUCAAUGGCAAACAAAUGAUCAUAUCCCUAGUUUUAUCAGUCUUUUUUACUGGCAUCUACAGAGUCCUCUGAGAAGUCAGAGAGAGAAAACUUGACUUCUUUC
rnacentral:lncRNA from 1 species